GUCAGCGCAGGCCCUACCACUUAAUCAGUUAGUCCCGGUGCGGUGCGGAAUGUUUGAAAUGCAAAGCUUGAGUUGAUCUCUGAUCGGAGACUAACAUGUUGUUCGUUUGUGUGCUUUGUUUCCGCAGGACGGACGACACCAUGUGGGAGAAAGCACCGUACCUGGCGUCGCUCAUCGUCUCUACCUGUGUGUGCGCGUGCGUGCGUGCGUGCGUGCAGGCGCUUGGAUCUCAGCGUUGGCAGUGCAGGCUCGUGUCUUCUGCGCGUGUCUUGGUUUGCUCGGUUUAGAGGCUUUGUCACUGGUGUAGCUGCCUUAGAGUUUGGCUCUGGCCAGGUGUUGGAGAGGCUUAGCUGUGGAUGGAUCAGUGUGUGGAAGUCACGCGGGUCUGCGCAGGUUUAGAGCGCGCGUUUGCUGUUGUCGGUGGGUGAAAGCAUAUUAUACAGUUGUGAUCCGGACACAACUGUAAAUAUGUGGAAGCCUGUAGUCAGAUAGUGUUUGCAGCAUGGGCUGAAGUGUGAAGUGUUGUUGGGCUUAGUUGUGUAUGUGGUUGUGGCCAGGCUUAGUUGUGAGUGUGUGGAGGUCAUGUGGGACAGACCAUGGCCUGUGUGGAGCUUAGGUAGACCCUCUGCUGCGUCUUGAAGUGUUGCAGAAUGUUAAAAAUUUUAGGUUUGAGAUUCAAAGCCUGUGUUUGGUUGGUGUGUGUGUGUGUGUGUGUGUGUGUGUGUGUUCUCUCAGCAGGAAGGAUGAGCUGAUCCAGAGGAUCAUCAUCAUGAGAGCAAGCAUGUGAGUCAACAUUACUCAUUGUUUCUAUGUUUUUGUUUGUGUUUUGUUUUCUCCCUGUGUGUUCCACAGGUGGCUGCAUCUGGCUGAGUGGGGAGCCAACUUUGAGGCCGUGGGCAACGUGGAGCUCAGCAGGAUGGAGGAGCUGGGUGAGAGGACCAUUUGAGACCAGGUGAGCAAGAUCCAUAUUGCACGUUUUUACACUUAUGCAUGCACUAAUGUUAGUGUGUGUGUGUGUGUGUGUGUGUUUGUGUGUGUGUGUUUGUGUGUGUGUGUGAGAGAGAGCAUUGUAGGUGUCUGCUGGGUGGAGCCAGGGAAGGUGCUGCUGGUGAGGAUAGAGUGCCAUCCUCUGGGAGUGAGGGACACAUCCAGGCAGGUGUUGUCUGAGCUCUGUGUGGAUGGCAGAGCUUAUUUGGAGGCCGUGAGAGACCAGGUGAGAGGAGGCCAUGACAGACCAGGUGAGAGGAGGCCGUGAGAGACCAGGUGAGAGGAGGCCAUGACAGACCAGGUGAGAGGAGGCCGUGAGAGACCAGGUGAGAGGAGGCCAUGACAGACCAGGUGAGAGGAGGCCGUGAGAGACCAGGUGAGAGGAGGCCAUGACAGACCAGGUGAGAGGAGGCCAUGACAGACCAGGUGAGAGGAGGCCGUGAGAGACCAGGUGAGAUACAUUAAUGUCUCUGUUUCUAGGUGUAUGGGGCUUCAGCUCAGAUGAGGUGAUCCAGAGGACCUCAAGAGAAGGUGGGAGCAUCCACAUUGGACAGUUUUUCUACACAUACAUUCCUUAAUUUGUGUUUUUGUGUGUGUCUGUGUGUAUGUGUCUGAGUGUUGGAAGUGCAGGCUCGUCUUCAGCUCAGUUUCAAGUCUUCGUUCUGUCCAGGUGUUUUGGAGUUUGGUUCUCGUUGAUCAAGGUGUUUGUGUUGUCGGUGGGUGAAAGCAUAUUAUACAGUUGUGAUCCGGACACAACUGUAGAUAUGUGGAAGCCUGUAGUCAGAUAGUGUUGGCAGCAUGGGCUGAAGUGUGAAGUGUUGUAGGUAGUUGUCAGUGUGUGGAUGUCACAUGGGUCAGUGUAGGUUUACUGUGUGUGAGAUGUCUUUGGCUCUUGGUGUAGAAGCUGUCCAUAGUUGUCUAUUGUUGCUUUGUGGUUACUGUUUAGGUGUUGUGCAUAGGCCUGUAGGUGUGUGAGUGUUGGAAGUGCAGGCUUGUCUUCUGCUCAGUUUAGAGGCUUUGUCCUGUAUCCAGGUGUUUUGGAGUUUGGCUCUUGCUGAGUGUUAAGGUUUAGUUGUGGAUGGAUUCGGUGUGUGAAAGGAAUUGGUUGGUGUAGGUUUAGAUUGUGUGAGAUGUAGUUGCCUCUUCAUGUAGAAGCUGUCAGUAGUUGUAUAUUGCUGAUGGGGCAGUGUGUGUUUGUAUGUGUGUGUAUGUGUGGCUGUGUUUAGCAGGUUCUGGUGGAGUCUGGGAUCCAGCUGAGGUGUGGUUCUGCAGGCUUGUUUUGAUGAAGGCUGUCAUGGAGAAAGUCACAGUGGAGUUCAGGAUGGAGGAGCUGAUCCAGAGGACCUGAUCCAGAGGACCAGAUCUAGAGGACCUGAUCCAGAGGACCUGAUCCAGAGGACCAGAUCCAGAGGACCUGAUCCAGAGGACCUGAUCCAGAGGAGCUGAUCCAGAGGACCUGAUCCAGAGGACCAGAUCCAGAGGACCAUGAGGGACAGGGAUGCUUCGGGUCAGAGGCAGUUGGUGUGUGUUCUGGGCCAUGAAGAGGAAGAAUUGCAUAGAGCUGUGUCUCUUGCUUGGGUGUUUUGUAAAUAAAGACUUGAUUUUUGUACCUAAUGGCACUUGUCUGUUUGUU